ACCCAAAUGUGGACAUUUUCUAAUCAACUCUUUGAACCAUUCCCACGCAUCAUGAAACUCCUCAUUUGGCUUUUGGGCAAAAGAUAAAAUCUGAGUUCUCAUGUC